CCCUUAGAUGUUCUGGGCUGCACGCGCGCUACACUGAAGCGUUCAACGAGUAUUCACCUUGCCCGGGAGGGUUGGGUAAUCUUUUGAAAACGCUUCGUGAUGGGGAUAGAUUAUUGCAAUUAUUAAUCUUCAACGAGGAAUUCCUAGUAAGCGCGAGUCAUCAGCUCGUGCUGAUUACGUCCCUGCCCUUUGUACACACCGCCCGUCGCUCCUACCGAUUGAGUAAUCCGGUGAAUAAUUCGGACUGCAGCACUGCUUGGUCUCCAGGCUUUGCAGCGGAAAGUUUAGUGAACCUUAUCACUUAGAGGAAGGAGAAGUCGUANCA
rnacentral:rRNA from 1 species